AACAUUCCUUCAGCAGAGCCACACUCUUAAAGAUUAUAAAUGUUGUCUUCAAAUAAUUGAAUAUUUGAAGGUUUGCUGGCCAAUGCAGGACUGAUUAUAAGUAAUGAUGACACAUCUGUAACUUCUAAAUGGGAAGGUCUUCGAAUGGGAUUGAAAAGACAAAGUGAUGAAAAAAUAAUUGUGAUAAUACAUACUGUUCCAGGUUUUAAACACAUACAGAGGGAAAAUGAGGUGAAGACACAAGGAAAAGACAACCAUCUAUGAGCCAAGGAGAGAGGCCUUAAAAGAAAUCAACCCUGGCAUCUUGAUCUUGGACUUCAAGCCUCCAGAAUG
rnacentral:lncRNA from 1 species